UGGAGAUUGAAAAUGUUUCUUUUUUGAGACCCCAGGAGCCCAAAUUCAGACCCAGAACAAUAAAACCCACAGAAGAGGUGGGAGAUCAAAGGAGGAAUCUUUAUAUUACCAAACUGCAGGGAGAGGAAGAGUAGAUAUAAGUCAUGAUCUGCAAGAUUAACCACAAUCUGAUGUGAUCCGACCACCUCAGAGAAAACCAGUGUUGAGCUGCUGCAAGAGCUUUUGAAGCACAGCAGCUGUGGUCAGAGAGUUCUCGUGUGUUCUGAUUGGUGGAUGAUGAUGAUGAUGAUGAUGAUGAGUGGAUAAAGACUAGAGCUAUCAAAUAGUGAGAGAGUGAUCUGCUCACCUGGUUAUGUUCGUGGAUGUUUCGACGUGGAAAGCAGUUCGGAAUGGAAAUAUUGUGAUAUGUGUACUCAUAUUUUUUGUUUUAAAGGUGCCCUAGAAUGUGUUGAAAUAAUAUUUUAAAUUUGUCUCUGAUAUCUACAAAGAGUGUAUGUGGCUUUUUAAGGGCAUUUAAAAUGUCCAGAUGGUUUUACAGGUCCAUUUUCAACCCUAGAAAUUGUCCCUAGAAUGAAAUGGUCUGUUUUUACCUUAUUUGGAAGGGUCAUGAAUAGUAAUGAGGAGUUCUGCUCUGAUUGGCUGUUUCACUGCGGGCUCGUCACAGCAGCUCAGAGUGACAACAAACAGGUCCAGCGUGACAAUGGAGAGAUGAGGCGUUCAACAGUACAUGUUUGAGUCCGUUUCAGAUGAAGAUGCCGAUUUUAAGGAACAACCAAAUGUUUUAAGAUUGGAAAUGGACGCUUCUGAGUGGUGUACUUGUGGAAAUUGUGCACGCAUGGCCCUCGAGAGAGAAAAUAUAUGUUGCAGGGAAAUACCACAGGUCACAAGAAAAAUGAGAAAAGUGCCUAAUACAAAAUCCUGCAUGACAGACCAUCCUGGCCUUGAACCUGUGUGACUCAAUAUAUACUGUAUUCUUUGUAAAAUGCAAUGAAUGAAUGUAGCAAUGAAUGUAUAUAGAGCUGACCAUGGGCGUUACAGUCAGAGGGAUGGAAAGACCCCGUCUUGACUGAAACGUGACACAUGCAGAGCAACAGCUUCUUCCAUGGAAGGUCUGUCAUGCUGAGAAGACCGGUCCGGAGGCACAGGAAUCUGCUGUAUGCCAUCCAGAUAUGGAAGAGGAUCACGGACAACUUCUUCAAAAACAGUAUUCAUCAAGUUGAUGACACAGCCUGUCCUGAAUCAGAGCUGCUGGCAGACCAGUACAGGUGCUGGGGGAUGCUCUUAUGCCACUUCUUCACCAAACUACAGUCCUUCUCUCUGGACAUUUUCUACAUCUUCUUUGUCAAUCCUGAUUGAGUAAAAGUUACAGGCAAAACAUAUCAGAUUUUUUUAUUUUUUAUUUGAUGAAGUAAGCUUUUUCAGAAAUAUGGAUCGUAAUACCAUGAAUAUUUGAAAUUUAUUUUCUUUCAAAGACGCAAGCAUUACCUUUCGCCAUGUGCCAGACGUCAUAAUAGUAGUUAAUUUUACGACCCUUUAAAAACUUUUUUUUUUAAUCUGGGGGUGACGGUCAGUAACAACACAGUCCAACUUUACACCGCUUUCCUCCAGGAGGUCCAAGCUUCUUCUAAGACCCUCCUUCUCCAUUGGUAGCUUCCCCCUUCCUCAUUGCUCUUAGUAGAAACACACAAGUAUAAAAUGUAUAUGUAAUAUCUCCAUAAAUUACUUCUAUAUAAAGAAGUGUGCAUGAUAAAUAUAAGUGUUUUCUUCUCUACGUAAAAAUUGCUGAGUAUGUUAUGUAUGCUGUAUUUUAUCUCUAAAGUUUGCACAGAUUUGUUACAAACUGAUAUUAAAGACAAAGUUGUCAACUGCUUACAUGACAUUUA